CCUACGGGUGGCAGCAGUGAGGAAUAUUGGUCAAUGGGCUUACGCCUGAACCAGCCAAGUCGCGUGAGGGAAGACUGCCCUAUGGGUUGUAAACCUCUUUUGUCAGGGAGCAAUUGGCGCUACGUGUAGCGGUAUCGAGAGUACCGGAAGAAAAAGCAUCGGCUAACUCCGUGCCAGCAGCCGCGGUAAUACGGAGGAUGCGAGCGUUAUCCGGAUUGAUUGGGUUUAAAGGUGGCGUAGGAGGAAUGCCAAGUCAGCGGUAAAAUCGCGGGGCUCAACCUCGCUCCGCCGUUGAAACUGGCGUUCUUGAGUGGGCGAGAAGUAUGCGGAAUGCGUGGUGUAGCGGUGAAAUGCAUAGAUAUCACGCAGAACUCCGAUUGCGAAGGCAGCAUACCGGCGCCCAACUGACGCUGAAGCACGAAAGCGUGGGUAUCGAACAGGAUUAGAUACCCCAGUAGUC
rnacentral:rRNA from 1 species